CUUUAAUGAUGAACCAAAAAUCGAAAUCGGAAUUAGGGCUCAAAGCUCAAAACACCUUCACCGUUCAUCAUCUCCGGCGACGACACGCUCUCCGAUUUCCGUUUCUAGGAUAAUUUGGCAUACGAGUGACAAAAUGGUUCAUUUGUUUCUUUCGGAACCUGACUGGGAUUGGGAUGGAGGUGAUGAUCAACAAAGAAUAUCUCUUUUGAAUGACCUAGAAUCAAUGAUCCGCUUGUUGAUUACAUCUCAAAGUCGAUCAGAGGCACGGCUUUGGCUUUGCAAAGAUGUUUCCGGGAUAAGUUCUCUGUCUCGCAGGCAAAAGUGUGAGCUGUUUUCAACUUUACUCAGAACCAGCUCACAGAAGAGAGACCUAGUGGCUCAAAUUUUGCAGAUGAUUUUUGAGAAACAGCCGAGAAGAGCAGGGUCUAUUCUAGCUAAAAAAAGCGACAUGCUAGAGGAUUUUUUCAGAGGAAAUACAAGGCGUAUUUUGCUUUGGUUCUCAAAUUUUUCUGGCACUAGUGAUACAGAGCACAGAAAGGGUGCUAAAGCAUUAUCCCAAUUUGCGUUUAUGAAUCGCGACAUUUGUUGGGACGAACUCGAAUGGAAAGGCAAACACGGACAAUCACCCGCCAUGGUUGCCACAAAGCCUCACUAUUUUCUUGAUCUUGAUGUCGAACAAACAGUCGAGAAUUUUCUCGAAAACGUGCCCGAAUUUUGGUCAUCUCAUGAGUUUGCCGACACAUUAAAAGACGGUGAUAUCUUGUUUCUGGACAUGAAGUUCUUCGUAAACAUGUUUUUGAGAUUAAUGUACAAAGAAGAUAUGGAUGAGAUAUGGAAAAUUGUUCACGAGUUUCUAACGGAAGAAUCUUUCUCGUCGUUAUGUUCACACCUUCUAAUCGCACUUAACGAGAACGAACUGUGUGUUUUUCUAGAUUUGCUUAAAAAUGUUCUUGACCCAAAUACCAAACCUAAAGAUUCCGGUGACACGCGUCACUAUCUGGAGGUCAUACUUCCCAGAUUCAACGGUUUAGAUUCGAAUUCGAUCGAUGAGUUUCUUUUGUUGAAUACGGUUAUAAAUCGAGGGCGUCAGUUAGUACAGCUUUUACAAGAAGACGAACACCAGGAAGAAAAGACUCAAAUCAAGGAUAUCGUGCAAAAGAUUUGCACUUUACCAGAAAACCCUAAUUGUUUAGUUCCAUUAAUUAAACGCUGCUUCACGAAAAAAAGCAUAAAUUCAAUAAAAUUACUCGGGUUGCAGUCUUGGGCUCUUCAUUACUUCAUGUCGGAGGGAUAUCGGGCUUCCGAAGAGUGGGAAUCUUUAUUUAACAGAAAUGGAGUACGUUUUCGCCAUGCUGGCAAGCAUGAAUUGUUGCAUGAUAAGAUGUUAACAGAUGAGAGUGACUCUGAUUCAAGGAGAAAAAAGAAACGGAAACAUAGAAAGAAAAGAAGGAGAACGAGGCGCAAUGACGGCUAUGAUGAUGAUUUUGUGGAUUUUGAUUUUGAGUAUAACAGGAUGGAUUUUCAAUCUAAGGGCAGUUGUUGGUUGUUAUCUACUGAUGGAUAUUCUACUUCAUGGAGCAGUGCUGAUUUACCAGAACACUUGUCAAAGCAUUGUUUUUCUACUUGGAUGAAGUGGGCUUUUUAUAGAUGGGGAGAUUCAGCUUCAUAAUAUCAUAGUGGAUUCAUCAUGUUGUUGUAUUCAAGGUACAUAAUAUUCUUUUAAACUUGCUUAAAUUUAGGCUUGAGCUUGUUGAAGCUUGGAUCGCUUUUGAGCUUUUAGCCAGCUGAUCUCGAGAGUGGCUCGGCUCGCUUUCACCCCUAGACCUGCACAUUUUGCCACCUCGAUGGUUGAUUAAUCUUGAGCCUUGCUACAAAUUGGUCAAAUGAAGCUGCUACUUCCAUGGGAUAGAUAACAUGCAAUCAUCAUCAUGAUGCCAUUAUGCGUGAGGAGGUCAAAAUGUACGCCAAGGGGACAAAAACGGCAUUUGAUGGGAUGCCGAGUAUUCUGUUAGCGUGCUUGCCUCCGCAGAGUCUCUUGCUUUUCACCUCUAUUCAACAAUCGAUAUACGAGUGGUAUUACAAUUUUUCAGAAAGGUCUGUCUCAGGCGGGUUGGUGAAUGUACAGGACCUAGAGAAUGUUGAUAAAACAGACAAGGUUGAGAGGAGGAGGAGCAGCAGAGAGAAGCGCCCAGUUGAGAGACGGAGAUUGUACAGGCAGGCUCUCGUGCAGCCAAAGAAAAAAAGGGUUGAGCAGUCGAAGAAGAAGAAGGGUAUCUAGGCUUUAUAAUUUGUGAUGACAACUAAAGAUUAGCUUUUUGUGAAUGAGUACCAAGGGUGUUUGAUAAAUGGGGUGUAAUACCAACACCUGUGAAUGAGUAAGGUCGUGGCAGUGAGUGUUGCUUAUGAGUGUAUAUAUAUAUAGCUUGACUGCAGGUGUGGUGGUGUGAUGAGCAGAUUGGUUUUGUGAGAAUGUUUGUUUUGUUAAGAGUAUUGGUUAUUAAGUUUGUUUCUUGAUUCAUAGAUGUUUAUUCUCAUUAAGCAAGUACCAACACCAAGA